GAUGUGGUGUGGAUAAGGGAAAGGCAGGAGAGAUACUUUGAGAGAAGUGGAAUAACUAGCAUUUCCCUGUGCCAGGGAAUAGUUGCUUUUUUGUUGUUUUAAUUGCUAAUUAAACCACGAGGAGGAUCAAAUUAAAUGUUUACAUUUUCUUGAAUGCAAGAUCUAUGGCAAGAGGUACAGCUGGGAGUGAGUUCAUGUCCAGCCCAGUUGUAGACACUGUCUUUUAAAAAGCCAUGCUUGCUUGAAUUCUCUUCAGUGAAUGAUGUAGUGAGCAUUAAAGCUCUCUGAACAGGGGAAGCUAUUGAGCCAUCUGGUGGCUGUCUCUGGGAUGUUUCCAUCAGGGCUUACUCAGCACCUGGAGUAAACUUCUGGGAGUUGAAGGAGCAAUAGAUGAAGAUCUGGGAAAAGAUUCUGCUCAAACUCAAACCCCAAUGAUUCAACUGAAUUAAGGUUACUUAUCCUAAGUCCUGGUUUUCUCCAUUUCUUCCCACGAGGAGUAACUUACUGAGCUAAUGUUGGAUAGUCACCUCUGAAAAGACAAGCUGUGAUGAAAUGCCUGAUCUUCAGUGUGAGAGAAAGCACUGAGGGGAUGGAGAUAUGUUUCUCUGCUUGCUCCAAGGAUUCUAAUAGAGAAGAGAAAUUUACAGCUAACAUUUGUUCGCGCACACAGACUGGCCGUGUUCACUGUCAGGAUUUUCAUGUCGAUCCAGUAACUGCUGUCCUACAGUUGUGACAGGAAUUUGAUCUUUCACUCUUCUGUGAAAUGCAACCGCUACCCCAGUGCUCAAUGUGCUCUGGACACCCCAUACUGGAGACCGGUUUGCUGCAGUGUUGGAUGAGAAGCCCCACUGAAGUCAAUUAAGAGACGUGUGCUUUAACCUAAAUGAAGGUCUGAUCAACUCCAAAUGGAAAACAAAGAUAAAUUAAAACAAGAUUCUUUACCAGCAGAGAAGUACAAAAUGGGUACAUCGGCUACCAGAGGAUGGAAGAGCAGAGAUGCCCCUCGAAAGCAGGCAAAAUUGCUGCCCUAAAUCACUGAGAUCAGGAAGCAUUUCUGGGAAAUUGCUGCUGUGUGUUUGGUCUCCUCUAGGAACGUGCUGUUGCCUGCUGCUGGAGGCAGAGUGCUGGGCUGCACCCGGCAAGGAGAGACGCAGGGUUAAACUUUGAUUCGAUCUCUCACAGGUAGUGCAACUCCCUUCUGCCUUUCCUUCCAGGUUAGUCAUCUAAAGCAGGCAAGCAGCACUUGUAUGCUAUUUUUCACAACUUGUCACCCUAAUGAGUUCCUGCAGGCGAGCCCAGCCUGGCAAGCAGGACCCUGGAGUCAGCAGUGGAUGAAGGUAUUCAGAAAGUCUGACCCAGAAAAAUGGCAGCUGAUCCGCGCAGUCAUUUGCACGGCUCUGCUCGUGGAAGGUUUUGGCUGCCUGAGGAUUUGUGCAGCUCCAUCUACAAGGGGAAGCAGAGAAACAGCACUGUCGUGACAGCAGUGACCAGCCCCAGUCUCACAACCCCCUGCGACUCACAUCUACAGCAAAGGGCUGAUGCAGCCAGAAGCACCUGCAGCAGCAACAUGUGCAUCGCACGAUGUCGAGCCUGCCUCCCUGAACCAGCCAGGAGCAGAGUCCGUCCCUGGCAGGAGGGAGCAGGGACCUAAGGAAGAGAAACGAAUGGCUCGGGUUCCCGUCAGCCAGUGGCACCUCCUUUAAAUAACUCAGGCUUUUUGGGGGCCACAAGAGAUCUCUUCCAUCCGCAUAUGGAAGUUUCUGCAAGUGAUGGUACCCUGCAAAUGGAUACGACCACCCACAGCAGCUCCCAAAAUUAAGUCCUCUGUGAGCAACUACAGCUUUUCUUCAAGAAAACUGCCUUGUGAUCAGCAACAGACACUGUAGUACCACAGUCAUAGGCAAGAUGCUUCAGCAGUUCAUUGCCCCACUCAAAUAAGGCCUUAUUUGUUGCC